AUACUUGCCAGGCAGGCGCAGUGCCACUGAGCUACAUCCCUGGCCCAAUGCAAGCUCCUUUCAAAGAUGGAGCAGUAUGCUGUGACUAUAAAGCUGUGCGCCUCUAGGCAUGAGCAGUGUUGACCCGGGAGGAGUCUGAGCUCAGGAUCCCUAGUCUUCUCCAUAUGUGUCCUGCAUAUUAGAGGCUCUCUGGACAGCCUGGCCCAUCCAUGGCCGGGUGCCGAGGUCACCGUGGAGUAAAUAACCAGGUGUAGCUGCUGGAGCAUUUCAGGACUUAGUUACUAUUGAACAACAGACCUCAGACACCCUUUGGCCCCUGGUCUUAGCCUUUUGUCCUCAUUUAGACAUUACAGUAUCUGCUUGUUAAUGUUUUAAAAUGUGAAGAUCCAAGCUGGGCACAUCUGUAAUCCCAGCACUUUGGGAGGCUGAGGCAGUAGGAUUGCAAGUUGGAGCCCAGCCUGUAUCAAAAUAAAAUGGAAAGGGCUGGGGUGUAUGCAGCUAAGUGUGAGGCCCUGAGUUUAAUUCCCAGUACUGGGGUAGGGAGAAGGAAAGAGACCUUUGCUUCUGUCAUUUAUGAGUAUAUAUAGCUGAUGAACUGUUAACCAGAGUUGGGGUUUUUUUUGUUUUUUGGGGGGUUUUUUUGGUACUGGGGAUUGAACCCAGGACCUUCACACUGAUCUACAUCCCCAGCACUUUUUUUUAUUUUUCAUUUUUUGAGACAGGGUCUUACUGAGUUACUAAAUUCUCCAGCCUAGGCUCCAACUUGCUGGAAUUAUAGGUGGUGUUUGGACACUAGACCAUGUGCCUAGGUAGUUUUCCUUUCUCUGCAGCUCUACUCUCCCAGCAACGCUCACCACACCCUUGUUUUGAGAACCUCACUAAGGUAUGAUGUCUAGGCUGACCUGAGCUGGCCUUGAAGAGCUGAGUUUGAACACAAGAGGGCUUUUCUGUUCCUUGGGUUGGUUUUGUUUUUGGUGGUAAAAUAUGCACAAGAAAAUUUAUCAUUUUUAAGUGUACAAUUCACUGGGAUUAAGUGCAUUCACAGCCAUGUAGCCCUAAGCCCCCACUCAUUUCCAGAACCUUCUAUCAUGUCAGCUUGUAACUCUGAACCCAUCAGAUGGCUGCUCCCUGCCUCCCUCCUCCAUACCCCUGACCCACUAUUCAAUUUUCUGUCUGAAUUUACCUAUUAGGAAUGUUGUAUAAGUGGGCUCAUUCAGAAUGUGUCUCUAUAUCUGGCUUAUCACUCAGUAAAACAUCUCCAUGUUAUAGUGUUCAUCAGAAAUUUUUUUCUUAUUUACUCCUUUUUUAUGAUGUUAGAGAUUAUACCCAGGGCCUCACCUAUUCUAGACAAGUGCUCUACCACUGAGCUACAACCCCCAGCGCCUUUCCUUUCUAAGGCCGAGUAAUACUUCAUUUGAGUAUAUCCC
rnacentral:lncRNA from 1 species